CAGUUGAUUUUGUCAUGAUGUAGCCUACCCUACAGCCUGCAUCAUGAAACAUGACGAAACAAAUUGUUGCUAUUGUAUACUUAUUUUUCUGUGAUUCCGAAUACUGAAUUAAACUUCAUUUGUAAAAUCAGUCCGUCAUUACAACAAGUUGACUUAGUGCUCAGUCAAUUUCCAUCCAUUAGAUCCUUAUGCUCUCAAAAGCAUGAAACUCAUAUUUGAAGCCCACAUACAGUGGAAUUAGACAAAAGUUCUUGCGCAUGGACCAUAGGAUCUUUUCUGAAUCUUGCAAGUGUAACCUGUGUCACAAUGUUUGUCGAGUGUACAACUGUUUCUACACUCUACAGCCGUUACGAAGGCAACCCAGCUGAGAGAGUUCCAGUUUCAGUGAAUGAACAUGAAGUGUGUGAAGUGUAUUUAGUACAUUUACCAGAUCUGCUUGAUGAAAGUCAAAUGCCUUACUGAAUUUGUCACCCAAAUGAUAAAGAACUAUUUGUGACGUCCCCUGAGAUCGAGAGUCGGCCGCCAGUUUCAAUCUACAACGCAGUUUCUUCAUGGAAUCGUGAGGUCCUGGCACGGAGAUCCUUGAGCCAACGCUGGCUUUUGUCCAUGACAGAAAAGGGACUUCCACCAACGUUCGGAUCCUUAUCUUCACGACGUACGCUGCUUCUUGUGCUUCACUGGCGAAUUAUUAGAUCACUUCAGGGUUCGCUUCCGUCCGCUGUGAAAUACCUGCAGUCACUCGCCACGGGAUUAUGCCCAGGAAAUGCAGCGGAGACGUCGAGAAGAUGGACACCAAAACAUCUCCG